rnacentral:tRNA from 1 species
UUCCUGGCAGUCCAAUGGCUAGGACUCUGAGCUUCCAAUGCAGGGGGCCCAGGUUUGAUCCCUGGUCAGGAAA